rnacentral:rRNA from 1 species
UUCCAGACUCCUACGGGAGGCAGCAGUGGGGAAUAUUGCACAAUGGGGGAAACCCUGAUGCAGCGACGCCGCGUGAGCGAUGAAGUAUUUCGGUAUGUAAAGCUCUAUCAGCAGGGAAGAAAAUGACGGUACCUGACUAAGAAGCCCCGGCUAACUACGUGCCAGCAGCCGCGGUAAUACGUAGGGGGCAAGCGUUAUCCGGAUUUACUGGGUGUAAAGGGAGCGUAGACGGCUGUGCAAGCCAGAUGUGAAAGCCCGGGGCUCAACCCCGGGACUGCAUUUGGAACUGUGUGGCUGGAGUGUUGGAGAGGCAGGCGGAAUUCCUAGUGUAGUGGUGAAAUGCGUAGAUAUUAGGAGGAACACCAGUGGCGAAGGCGGCUUACUGGACUGUAACUGACGUUGAGGCUCGAAAGCGUGGGGAGCAAACAGGAUUAGAUACCCCGGUAA